rnacentral:rRNA from 1 species
UAACUGACGUUGAGGCUCGAAAGUAUGGGUAGCAAACGGGAUUAGAUACCCCGGUAGUCCAUACCGUAAACGAUGGGUGCUAGUUGUUAAGAGGUUUCCGCCUCCUAGUGACGUAGCAAACGCAUUAAGCACCCCGCCUGAGGAGUACGGCCGCAAGGCUAAAACUUAAAGGAAUUGACGGGGACCCGCACAAGCGGUGGAGCAUGUGGUUUAAUUCGAAGAUACGCGAAAAACCUUACCAGGUCUUGACAUACCAAUGAUCGCUUUUGUAAUGAAAGCUUUUCUUCGGAACAUUGGAUACAGGUGGUGCAUGGUCGUCGUCAGCUCGUGUCGUGAGAUGUUGGGUUAAGUCCCGCAACGAGCGCAACCCUUGUUAUUAGUUGCCAGCAUUUAGUUGGGCACUCUAAUGAGACUGCCGGUGAUAAACCGGAGGAAGGUGGGGACGACGUCAGAUCAUCAUGCCCCUUAUGACCUGGGCAACACACGUGCUACAAUGGGAAGUACAACGAGUCGCAAACCGGCGACGGUAAGCUAAUCUCUUAAAACUUCUCUCAGUUCGGACUGGAGUCUGCAACUCGACUCCACGAAGGCGGAAUCGCUAGUAAUCGCGAAUCAGCAUGUCGCGGUGAAUACGUUCCCGGGUCUUGUACACACCGCCCGUCAAAUCAUGGGAGUCGGAAGUACCCAAAGUCGCUUGGCUAACUUUUAGAGGCCGGUGCCUAAGGUAAAAUCGAUGACUGGGAUUAAGUCGUAACAAGGUAGCCGUAGGAGAACCUGCGGCUGGAUCACCUCCUUUCUAAGGA